UACGAAGGGGGCUAGCGUUGCUCGGAAUUACUGGGCGUAAAGCGCGCGUAGGCGGACUGUUCAGUCAGGGGUGAAAUCCCAGGGCUCAACCCCAGAACUGCCCUUGAUACUGCAUGUCUUGAGACCGGAAGAGGUGAGUGGAAUUCCUAGUGUAGAGGUGAAAUUCGUAGAUAUUAGGAAGAACACCAGUGGCGAAGGCGGCUCACUGGUCCGGUUCUGACGCUGAGGUGCGAAAGCGUGGGGAGCAAACAGG
rnacentral:rRNA from 1 species